AUUUACGGCCUACCACCCUGCACCCACCCGAUCUCGUCUGAUGUCAGAAGCUAAGCACGGUCGGGUCUGGUUAGUACUUGGAUAGGAGGCCCCCUGGGAAUACCUGGUGCUGUAAGCU
rnacentral:rRNA from 1 species